AUUGAACGCUGGCGGCAGGCCUAACACAUGCAAGUCGAGCGGAUGAAGGGAGCUUGCUCCUGGAUUCAGCGGCGGACGGGUGAGUAAUGCCUAGGAAUCUGCCUGGUAGUGGGGGAUAACGUCCGGAAACGGGCGCUAAUACCGCAUACGUCCUGAGGGAGAAAGUGGGGGAUCUUCGGACCUCACGCUAUCAGAUGAGCCUAGGUCGGAUUAGCUAGUUGGUGGGGUAAAGGCCUACCAAGGCGACGAUCCGUAACUGGUCUGAGAGGAUGAUCAGUCACACUGGAACUGAGACACGGUCCAGACUCCUACGGAGGCAGCAGUGGGGAAUAUUGGACAAUGGGCGAAAGCCUGAUCCAGCCAUGCCGCGUGUGUGAAGAAGGUCUUCGGAUUGUAAAGCACUUUAAGUUGGGAGGAAGGGCAGUAAGUUAAUACCUUGCUGUUUUGACGUUACCAACAGAAUAAGCACCGGCUAACUUCGUG
rnacentral:rRNA from 1 species